rnacentral:rRNA from 1 species
CCUACGGGGGGCAGCAGUGGGGAAUAUUGCGCAAUGGGCGAAAGCCUGACGCAGCGACGCCGCGUGAGUGAUGAAGGUCUUCGGAUCAUAAACCUCUGUCAGCAGGGAAGAACGGUCACUGUGCUAAUCAGCAGUGAAUUGACGGUACCUGCAAAGGAAGCACCGGCUAACUCCGUGCCAGCAGCCGCGGUAAUACGGAGGGUGCGAGCGUUCAUCGGAAUUACUGGGCGUAAAGCGCUCGUAGGCGGGAUGUCAAGUCAAGUGUGAAAUCCCCGGGCUCAACGUGGGCACUGCCUUGGAAACUGGCAAACUGGAGUGUGUGAGAGGAUAGUGGAAUUCCAGGUGUAGGAGUGAAAUGCGUAGAUAUCUGGAGGAACAUCAGUGGCGAAGGCGACUAUCUGGAACAUAACUGACGCUGAGGAGCGAAAGCGUGGGUAGCAAACAGGAUUAGAUACCCCUGUAGUC